AUGCAGCUGACGAGUUCCAAAUAGGACGAAACGUGCGUCCUGGAU
rnacentral:hammerhead_ribozyme from 1 species